rnacentral:rRNA from 1 species
AGAGUUUGAUCGUGGCUCUAUUGAACGCUGGCGGUCAGCCUAAGCUUGCAAUUCCAGCGGAUGACGGGAGCUUGCUCCUUGAUUCACCGGCUGACGGGGGAUGACUGCCUAGGAAUCUGCCGGGCGGUGGGGGACAACGUUCCGAAUGGAGCGCUAAUACCGCAUACGUCCUACGGGACAAAGUGGGGGAUCUUCGAACCUCACGCUAUACUAUGAGCCUAGGUCGGAUUAGCUAGUUGGUGAGGUAAAGGCUCACCCUCGGUACCAUCCGUUGCUGGUCUGAGAGGAUGAUCAGUCACACGGGAACUGAGACUCGGCCCCAACUCCUACUGCAUGCAGCUUGGGGGAAUAUUGCACCAUGGACGAAAGCCUGAUCCAGCCUUGCCACGUGUGUGAAGAAUGUCUUCCGAUUGUAAACUACUUUAAGUUGGGAGGAAGGGCAGUUGAUUAAUACCUUGCUGUUUUGACGUUACCGACCCAAAAAGCACCGGUUAAUUCUGUGCCAGCUCCCUCCGUGAUACGGACGGUGCAAGCGUUUCUCGUUAUUACUGAUUGUAAAGCGCGCUCAGGUGGUUCGUUAAGUUGGAUGUGAAAGCCUUGAGCUCAAACUGUGAACUGCAUCCCACCCUGGCGAGCUAGAGUAUGGUAGACUGUGGUGGAAUUUCCUGUGUAACGGUGAAAUGCGUUGAUAUCGAAGGAACACCGGAGUACCAGGCGACCACCUGGACUGAUACUGACACUGAUGUGCGAAAGCGUGUGGAGCAAACCCGAGUAGAUACCCUGGUAGUCCGCGGUUCAUACGAUGUCAACUACACGUUGGAAUCCUUGAGAUAUUACUGGCGCCGCUAACGCAUUCUAUGACCGCCUGUUGAAUACGGCUCCAAGGUUAAACUCAGAUGAUUCGAUGGAGCUCAACGAACCGCUGCAGCAUGCUGUUUGACCUCGUAAGUACGAUAAGAACCUUACCAGCUUUGUAAUGCAGACUACUUGUCCAGAAAUGAGAUGGAUUGGUGCUUUCUGGAUCUGUGACACAGGUGCAGCAUGGUAGUAGUCAGCUGCCGUUCGUGAGAUGUUGGAAUAAGUCCCAAUCGAGCGCAACCCUUGUCCUUAGUUACCAGCAGGUCAUGGUGGUCACUCCAAGGAGAAUAUUGGUGACAAACCGGAGGAAGGUGGGGAUGACGUCAAGUCAUCAUGGCCGUUACGGCCUGGUCCUCUCACGCCUACAAUGGUCGUUACAGAGGGGAGCCAAGCCCCCAGGUGGAGCUAAUUUCACAAACCCGAUAUUAGUCCGGAUAGCAGUCGGCAAUUCCACUGUGUGAAGUCGGAAUCGUUAGUAAUCGCGAAUCAGAAUGUGGCGGUGAAUACGUUCCCGGCCGUCGGACUCACCGCCCGUCACCCCAUGUGAGUGGGUUGCUCCAGAAGCAAGUAGUCUAACUUUUGGGGGGACGGCAACCACGGUGUGAUUCAUGAGCGGGGAGUAGUAGUCACAAGGUAGCUGUA